GUCCACGCCGUAAACGAUGGGUGCUAGGUGUGGGGUGUCGACUCCCUCCGUGCCGCAGCUAACGCAUUAAGCACCCCGCCUGGGGAGUACGGCCGCAAGGCUAAAACUCAAAGGAAUUGACGGGGCCCCGCACAAGCAGCGGAGCAUGUGGUUUAAUUCGAUGCAACGCGAAGAACCUUACCAGGGCUUGACAUGGUCGGGAAAGCCGUAGAAAUACGGCCCUCCUUCGGGACUCGAUCACAGGUGGUGCAUGGCUGUCGU
rnacentral:rRNA from 1 species